CCCUUAGAUGUUCUGGGCAGCACGCGCGCUACAAUGGUCUUCGCAAACGGAUGCAUUCUCGAAGGAGAAUGCCAAUCGUGGAAUCUAUGCCUUGGUCGGGACAGUUGCUUGCAAUUUUUCGACUCGAACCAGGAAUUCCUUGUAAUCGUGAUUCAUCACAUCACGAUGAAUACGUCCCUGCCCUUUGUACACACCGCCCGUCGCUCCUACCGAUCGAAGAGUUAGGUGAAUUGUUUUGAUCGAUAAGAUUUGACUAUGGUCAACUCUCGUUGUGAAAUUCUGUGAAUCUGACUGUUUAGAGGAAGGAAAAGUCGUAACA
rnacentral:rRNA from 1 species